rnacentral:rRNA from 1 species
UUCGCAAUGCCCGAAAGGGUGACGAAGCGACGCCGCGUGUGGGAAGAAGGCCUUCGGGUUGUAAACCACUGUCGGGAGUUAAGAAAUGCAAGGAUAUUAAUAGUGUCUUUGUUUGACUAAGGCUCCGGAGGAAGCCACGGCUAACUCUGUGCCAGCAGCCGCGGUAAUACAGAGGCGGCAAGCGUUGUUCGGAAUUAUUGGGCGUAAAGAGCACGUAGGCGGCUAUGUAAGUCGGUUGUGAAAGCCUUCCGCUCAACGGAAGAACAGCAUCCGAUACUACAUGGCUUGAGUGCGGGAGGGGAGAGUGGAACUUCUGGUGGAGCGGUGAAAUGCGUAGAUAUCAGAAGGAACGCCGGAGGCGAAGGCGGCUCUCUGGACCGUUACUGACGCUGAGGCGCGAAAGCUAGGGGAGCAAAUGGGAUUAGAUACCCCAGUAGUCCUAGCCGUAAACGAUGGGCACUAAGUAGAGGGGUUUU